ACUGCAGUGACAAAUGUUUUUUUUUUUUACUUUUCCUCUUUGAGACAUCUUCCUCUAAAACUCUGAGCAGCUGCAGUCUCCUUGCCCAAACAACUUAAUUGUAAACUCUCUGGUGAGCCAGACUCUCCUCUUUAGGCCAUGACAACGAGGAAACAGCUUUGUCAGAGCAUCAUCCAUCAAGGGUGAGCACAGUGUUGGUGGCAGCUUGGAAAUGGAACGGGCUUCACUAGGGCAGCCGUAUGAGCAUCACUGCACUUCCCACUGCCCUGACACUGAUUUAUCAGGGGUUUCUCUGGCACUUGGGCCAUAACACACAAGGAGCUGGAAAUUGGAAGAAAACAUCAUGGAUUAUAUUUGCCACUCGGAACUCUCCUUCCUCUGAUGACUGCCUUCUGCCUCCCAGCAUACGUUAACUUUUGUUACCAAAUCCACAUCAAAGCAUUGUAUGUUGUUACCACUCACAAAUAUUCCCUAUCAUUAUUAAACAAAUGAGGUGCAACUGCCAGAUGAAGUUAGUGAGAGUGCCUAGCUGGAGGGAAGGGGGAAAAAAUUGGGAGAAAUUUCUCCUUUUUUGUUUUUUUUGGGUCUUGUUUACUGUUCUAGGGACACUGGAUAAUUAGGACAUGGAUUUUCUUGACAUAUCAUCUCAGACUGCGCUGUCAGAAAGCGCUCGUCUCCCUCGGGGUCUGGAGCAGGAGUGGAAACACAGAGGCAUACACCAGGUCUGCCAGGAGGAGGGCUGGCCCUGCAGCUCCUGCCCAGGAUACUGCAGCCCACAGGGAAUCACCAGGCUCCUGCAGCACAGCAGCCCUGCACCCUGUGAAACCAGCCUUUGUGCUUAAAGGUUCCCUGGCAACCAAGAGUUCCUGCUGAAGAAGCAGAGCUGGGAGCAUGAAAAGUGAGUGUAGCCGGAUGGAGACACCCUCCGGUUCUUCUGGGCUUUUCUGGAAACAGCCUGGAGAGGGUACAGCAGAGGGUACCAAGAUGAUGAGGGGCCUGGAGCAUCUCCCUUACAAGGAGCACAAAAAGCAUCGCUCAUUGCCGAGCAGAACCUUCCUUCACCCUCAGCCCUGCUCUUCCUCCACAGUGGGGUGGUCUCUCCUCUCUUUUCCAGCUCCGUUCAGGACAGGUGAAGACCAUCACACAGUGCAAGCUCCCUCUCUGCCAGCUCAGAGCACACAGGAGGAGCAAAAAUCCCCCCCAGGUUUGUAGGAUUUAAGUCUUCAGAGUGCACAUGCUCAGGCUUUAUUCUAAGCUUUUCAGGGAAGCAAAGAAGACAUGAGAUACCCCCUGUAAUCAUCUGCCUCUGGGAGCUGAUACCAGGUAUCAGAAGAGGUGGUGAAAUCACGGUGUUCAGAGCUGCCUUAUCCAGCUGUGGUGAGUAAUGUGUUUGCUGUAGUGACAAGCAAGUGUCACUGGAGCUGUGUGUGAAUAUUCUGCAUAAUUCCCAGUGCACAUCUUCAGAAAAAGAAGCCAGAAGUCCAAAGCAGAAAUGUGGAGAAGAGGGGUCCAGGUGGCCUCUUUGGGCACCUCCAGGGCUCAGGGGGACUCGGGGUGAAUGGAGCAGAGAGGGAGCUGCGCUGUGCUUUUGGGCUGAGGAGCCAAAAGUUGUCCGAGUGGUUCCUCAGAACAACAAAGUUGCACAGAGCUCAUGUCUAUGACACCUCUACAGACGCCUCAUUAUGUAAAAUUACAUCCUUUUGAAUCUAUGCUAAAAUAAUCUCAUUUUAUAACACAGUGUUGCUGGCUAGCCAGCUCCAGCUUGCAGUGUCUAUGAUGGUGUUUCUUGUCUGGUUUCUGCACGGUUGGGAUGAAGAUGAGCCUGAGCAUCGGGCUUGGGAUGUCUGAAAAUCUGAUUCAGUUCCGGGUCUGCCCUCAGCAGUUCCUCCAUGGAUUAGGUGAGACAUUUUGCUUUUCAGUGUUUUUAACCUGGUCCUGAGGAUACUGGACUUUGCCUUUAUGUGAGCCGUGAGCCUGCCCUUGUCCACCACUAUUGCUGCGGGAGCUGCCAGUCCUGGGAGUGGCAUAAAACAUAUAUAGCUUUUUAUGGAAGAAAUCAGAAGUGGCUCUUUCAUAUUUGUAGGUGUCACACACCAACUGGCUUAUAAAUGUAACUUUAAUGCCUAAAAAGUUGAUAAUCACCUUUAUACUUGCAUACUAGCAUCGUUUUAAAGUGAAUUACCGACAUCAUAUAUUGCCUUAUUCCCCCACA
rnacentral:lncRNA from 1 species